rnacentral:lncRNA from 1 species
AUUACAUUUGACAAACUCUUAUUGUGAAAGCCAAAGUCUCUUCUCUUGAUCCGUAUCUAAAGUUGGUAUCUAGCGCCAUCUAGUAGACAAGAGCAUGAUUCUUCAAAAAUCAGGGUUCUCUUUGAUUUUGUGCGAUCACUUGUCCUCCACAGGCUCAGGCUGUGACUCUGACAGUUGCACAAGCUUUCAAAGUAGCUCUGGAUCUGUGGGAGAUCGCACAGGAAGGUGUAGUUUUUUGCCCUUUGUCGAUAUAGACAAAAGUAAGAAAACCCGCACACGCUACACCUGUUCAGACCCUGAAUCUCAUCCUGAAUCUGAAGCAAACAGUGUUUCAGAGGAGGAGAAGACUCAAGCUCUGAUGGAGCACAAACUUAGGAAGCCCUUCUUCCCUUCCUUCCUUUCACCAUCUCCACGCAGCAAAGCUAGGAGACGACCAAUCAAACAUGACUCCUGGGUAUGAUGUCAUACUUUAUGAACUUUUAUCACAUACUACCAUUCAGAAGUUUGGGGUUGCAAGGAUUUUUGGUAACACUUUAGUAAAGUGACUAAUUCAGUAUUAACUAGUUUCUUAUUAGCAUGCCUAUUAUUAACAUAUUGGCUGUUUAUUAGUGCUUAUAAAGUACAUACCUUGCUUGACAGUAUUCUACAUACCUAAUUCUAAACACCUAAACUUAAUAACUACAUUACUAACUAUUAAUAAGCAGCAAAUUAGGAGUUUAUUGAGGCAAAAGUUAUAGUUGGUGGUUUGUUUUGGAUCUUAAACUGUUUUGGAAUUGGACUUUAAAAUAAAUCGGACUGGAUUUUUUUAUGUUUUUGAAAGAAGUGUC